UACAGAGGGGGCAAGCGUUGUUCGGAAUCACUGGGCUUAAAGGGCGCGUAGGCGGGUUCGCAAGUCUGUGGUGAAAUCCUCCGGCUCAACCGGAGAACUGCCUCGGAUACUGCGGGUCUCGAGGGUGAUAGGGGUAUGCGGAACUAUCGGUGGAGCGGUGAAAUGCGUUGAUAUCGAUAGGAACUCCGGUGGCGAAGGCGGCAUACUGGAUCACUUCUGACGCUGAGGCGCGAAAGCCAGGGGAGCAAACGGG
rnacentral:rRNA from 1 species